GUUAAGCGACUAAGCGUACACGGUGGAUGCCCUGGCAGUCAGAGGCGAUGAAGGACGUGCUAAUCUGCGAUAAGCGCCGGUAAGGUGAUAUGAACCGUUAUAACCGGCGAUUUCCGAAUGGGGAAACCCAGUGUGAUUCGUCACACUAUCGUUAACUGAAUACAUAGGUUAACGAAGCGAACCGGGGGAACUGAAACAUCUAAGUACCCCGAGGAAAAGAAAUCAACCGAGAUUCCCCCAGUAGCGGCGAGCGAACGGGGAGCAGCCCAGAGUCUGAAUCAGCAUGUGUGUUAGUGGAACGGUCUGGAAAGUCCGACGGUACAGGGUGAUAGUCCCGUACACAAAAACGCAUGUGCUGUGAACUCGAAGAGUAGGGCGGGACACGUGGUAUCCUGUCUGAAUAUGGGGGGACCAUCCUCCAAGGCUAAAUACUCCUGACUGACCGAUAGUGAACCAGUACCGUGAGGGAAAGGCGAAAAGAACCCCGGCGAGGGGAGUGAAAAAGAACCUGAAACCGUGUACGUACAAGCAGUGGGAGCA
rnacentral:rRNA from 1 species